UACGGGGGGGGCAAGCGUUGUUCGGAAUUACUGGGCGUAAAGGGCUCGUAGGCGGCCAACUAAGUCGAACGUGAAAUCCCUCAGCUUAACUGGGGAACUGCGUCCGAUACUGAUUGGCUUGAAUCCGGAAGAGGGAUGCGGAAUUCCAGGUGUAGCGGUGAAAUGCGUAGAUAUCUGGAGGAACACCGGUGGCGAAGGCGGCAUCCUGGGUCGGUACUGACGCUGAGACGCGAAAGCGUGGGGAGCGAACAGG
rnacentral:rRNA from 1 species